CACUGACAUUAGAUACCCCUGUAGUCCCAGCCGUAAACAAUGUGCGUUAGGUGUGUCGGUAACCACGUGUUACUGAUGCGCCGAAGGGAAACCGUGAAACGUGCCGCCUGGGAAGUACGGUCGCAAGGCUGAAACUUAAAGGAAUUGGCGGGGAGCACCACAGCGGGUGGAGCCUGCGGUUUAAUUGGACUCAACGCCGGAAAUCUCACCGGAUAGGACAGACAUAUGAUAGUCGGGCUGAAGACUCUACUUGAUGAUCUG
rnacentral:rRNA from 1 species